rnacentral:rRNA from 1 species
UACGUAGGGUGCAAGCGUUGUCCGGAAUUAUUGGGCGUAAAGAGCUCGUAGGCGGUUUGUCGCGUCUGCUGUGAAAACCUGGGGCUUAACCCCGGGCCUGCAGUGGGUACGGGCAGACUAGAGUGUGGUAGGGGAGACUGGAAUUCCUGGUGUAGCGGUGAAAUGCGCAGAUAUCAGGAGGAACACCGGUGGCGAAGGCGGGUCUCUGGGCCACAACUGACGCUGAGGAGCGAAAGCGUGGGGAGCGAACAGG